rnacentral:rRNA from 1 species
UACGGAGGGUGCAAACGUUGCUCGGAAUUAUUGGGCGUAAAGCGCACGUAGGCGGCCGACUAAGUCGGGUGUGAAAGCCCAGGGCUCAGCUCUGGAAGUGCACUAGAAACUGGGAAGCUUGAGUACCGGAGGGGAGAGUGGAAUUCCUGGUGUAGCGGUGAAAUGCGUAGAUAUCAGGAGGAACACCGGUGGUGUAGACGGCUCUCUGGACCGUAACUGACGCUGAGACACGAAAGCGUGGGUAGCAAACAGG